CCUACGGGAGGCUGCAGUGAGGAAUAUUGGUCAAUGGGCGGGAGCCUGAACCAGCCAAGUCGCGUGAGGGAAGAAGGUACUGAGUGUUGUAAACUUCUUUUGUCAGGGGAUAAAGGCGUCCACGGGUGGGCGUUUGAGUGUACCUGGAGAAAAAGCAUCGGCUAACUCCGUGCCAGCAGCCGCGGUAAUACGGAGGAUGCGAGCGUUAUCCGGAUUUAUUGGGUUUAAGGGGUGCGAAGGCGGUUUGUCAAGUCAGCGGUAAAAUGUGGGGGCUCAACCCUGACGUGCCGUUGAAACUGGCGUGCUCGAGUUGAGGAGAGGUAUGCGGAAUUCGUGGUGUAGCGGUGAAAUGCAUAGAUAUCACGAAGAACCCCGAUUGCGAAGGCAGCAUACCGGAUCCACACUGACGCUGAGGCUCGAAAGCGUGGGUAUCGAACAGGAUUAGAUACCCCAGUAGUC
rnacentral:rRNA from 1 species